rnacentral:rRNA from 1 species
UACGUAGGGUGCAAGCGUUAUCCGGAAUUAUUGGGCGUAAAGAGCUCGUAGGCGGUUUGUCGCGUCUGCUGUGAAAACCCGAGGCUCAACCUCGGGCCUGCAGUGGGUACGGGCAGACUAGAGUGCGGUAGGGGAGAUUGGAGUUCCUGGUGUAGCGGUGGAAUGCGCAGAUAUCAGGAGGAACACCGAUGGCGAAGGCAGAUCUCUGGGCCGUAACUGACGCUGAGGAGCGAAAGCGUGGGGAGCGAACAGG